GAUCUAGAAGGAUGGAAGCAUCACCAAGCAUACCGGUGGAUCGAUCCCUUUUAUGGUUCAUGCGGAGAGGAUGGAAAAACAACUAAACCGAAAACCAACCUAUGGAGAAUUGUUCAACCGCACCCACAAACGUGAGAAAGGUCAAGGUGAUUUUGUUGAUCAUAAGUCCAAGAAUGUCUGUGAAGCUUAUACUUCUUCAAUGAGUCAAAAGUAUGGUCU